AUUGAACGCUGGCGGAAUGCUUUACACAUGCAAGUCGAACGGCAGCACGGACUUCGGUCUGGUGGCGAGUGGCGAACGGGUGAGUAAUGUAUCGGAACGUGCCCAGUCGUGGGGGAUAACGUAGUGAAAAUUACGCUAAUACCGCAUACGAUCUAUGGAUGAAAGCGGGGGAUCGCAAGACAUCGCGCGAUUGGAGCGGCCGAUAUCAGAUUAGGUAGUUGGUGGGGUAAAGGGCCACCAAGCCAACGAUCUGUAGCUGGUCUGAGAGGACGACCAGCCACACUGGAACUGAGACACGGUCCAGACUCCUACGGGAGGCAGCAGUGGGGAAUUUUGGACAAUGGGCGAAAGCCUGAUCCAGCCAUUCCGCGUGCAGGAUGAAGGCCCUCGGGUUGUAAACUGCUUUUGUACAGAACGAAAAGGUUUCUACUAAUACUAGGAGCUCAUGACGGUACUGUAAGAAUAAGCACCGGCUAACUACGUGCCAGCCGCCGCAGUAA
rnacentral:rRNA from 1 species